ACUCUUCCUCUUGCGACAGCUUCUGGUGUUGGGAUGCUUGAAGAGAGCAGAUGGGCAGCCAUGGUUAAAACAUCCAAUCAAGACUACCACUCGCUGCCACAACACAAACCGCAACACAACGCCGCGUGUGAAGUGCUGUGGGGCCAACAAGGUGAAUUUGCAGCGGCCAGCUACCCGAGUCGUUUCCUGUCGCAAGACAUCUGCUUCCUGGGUGAGAAGGUCGACGCUCUGGCUCUUCUCUUCCAAUUGGAGGUCCAGGAUUUGGAGGCGGCUCUUUGCGUCUUCUAAUAGCGUUGAUAGGCUAGCUUCAGCGUCAGUCUUCUCCCUGAUCUGGAUCUGUAACCUGGUGAGCUAAAACACAAAAGUAACAUUAGGACAUUUCAACUUAAACCUUAUUAAAGCCUCCCUGAAACAUGA